rnacentral:rRNA from 2 species
UGGGGAAUAUUGGACAAUGGGCGCAAGCCUGAUCCAGCCAUGCCGCGUGUGUGAAGAAGGCCUUAUGGUUGUAAAGCACUUUAAGCGAGGAGGAGGCUACUUUAGAUAAUACCUAGAGAUAGUGGACGUUACUCGCAGAAUAAGCACCGGCUAACUCUGUGCCAGCAGCCGCGGUAAUACAGAGGGUGCAAGCGUUAAUCGGAUUUACUGGGCGUAAAGCGCGCGUAGGCGGCUAAUUAAGUCAAAUGUGAAAUCCCCGAGCUUAACUUGGGAAUUGCAUUCGAUACUGGUUAGCUAGAGUGUGGGAGAGGAUGGUAGAAUUCCAGGUGUAGCGGUGAAAUGCGUAGAGAUCUGGAGGAAUACCGAUGGCGAAGGCAGCCAUCUGGCCUAACACUGACGCUGAGGUGCGAAAGCAUGGGGAGCAAACAGG